GCUUCCGUAGCGCAGUCGGUAGCGCGUCAGUCUCAUAAUCUGAAGGUCGUGAGUUCAAGCCUCACCGGGAGCA
rnacentral:tRNA from 1 species